rnacentral:lncRNA from 1 species
UACAAAUUUCAAUCUAUAAGCCAAACUAGUAGAUGGAUGAUGUUCAUGCAAUAAGAAUGGAACAUUCAAAAACAUGGAAUCCACAGGCAGAAUAAGAUCACUAAUUGUCAUACCAUAUGACAUAGCAAACAUGUUCAAACACAAACUACAUAGCUGCAACUAUACAUUCCACAGUAUGGAAUCAUAGAAGCUUAGUAAGCAGAAGAGCACAAAUAAUACAAGCAUACCCAAUGUUCUUCAUAAAUACGAGUCAUAGCAGCAAAAGUAGCAGCAGAUCACUGCUCACUUCGUAAUUAGUCCCACAUGGCCCUGAACCAAUUCAACCAUCCACGCUGCUCCUUCCUCCCCAUCCUCCUCCCAAAUUUGAGCUCCUUCUUGCCCAUCUCCAUCUCCUCCUCAUCAUCGGAGUCCGAAUCCGAGUCCUCCUCGUCGGCCCUCUUCUUCUUGUGCUCCUUGUUCUUUCUCGUCCUCCUCCUCUCCCCUUCCCACUCCGUCGCCAAAGGCCACUCCAUCCGGCCCUCCCUGCCCUCGGCCUCAGAUCCGGCGUCCACUUCGCCGCCCUUGGGGAGCGGGAUCAUGUCGUUUCCGUAGGGGACGAUCCUGACGCCGUGGAACCGGUGGCCGUGGCGGUCGUGGUGGUGGUGGUGGCAGCGGUGGCGGCGGAAGUGGUGGUGCACGGGGCGGCGAAGAGAGAGGUCAACGUGGUCGAAUCCCUCGACGAAUUCGGGGAUGGGAUGCUCCGACGUUAUCUUCUCGAUCGAGGCGGUUAGGGUUGUCAGGUCCGCAUCCUCGGCCGGGACCAGUUCGGCGGUCGUCGGAUCGAAGUCCUCCGGCACCUCACGGAAGUCGACGGCCGUGGUCGCGUCGGGGGCGAGGGGGACGCGGGUGGCGUGGGAGAGAAGGAAGAGGAGGGAGAAGACGACGGAGAGGAUGACGGAGAUCUUGACGGAAACCAUGGAUUCGGGUAACGGCGGUCAAUUCUAAGAAAUGUGCGUUUGUGGGACGCUCUGCAUCCGUUAUUUAUAGAUGAAGGCAACGGAGUGACCGGUCAACCUCGAUGGUAAGAAUAAAACCACUCAUUUUUAAUACUUUUAAUUUGUUUUUCUUAAAUAUUCUUUAAGUUUGAUUUAUAGAUGAUAAUUAUCAUAUAAAUAGUUAUAGUUCCCAGAAAAUGCUUUUGCUUUUUAUAAAAUAAAGCAUCUUAAAUAGUAUCUUAAAUUAAACAAUUAAUUUUCUUAAAUAGUAUCUUUAAUUAAAAAAUAUAUUAACUAUCUUUCAAAAAUUUUCUAGUGUUUUAACCUGUUAUAAUAUUUUGAUCAUCAAAAUAAAAACAUUAUAAGACUUACACAGUAAAAGUAUUGUAAGAUCAAUUCAAAAAUAUUAUAAAUAAUCUACAUGAACGUUUAACCUUAAUCAAAUUAAUUAUAAAUAUAAAAAUAUAAUAUUAUAAUAAUCUAUGAGCAAUAACAAUCAACAAUAUGAUAUCACUUAUAAUAUUUUUAAUAUCUUAAUAAAUCACUAUAACGUCAUUGGAAAACAUGGUAAAGAAGUCAAAUGAAAAUAUUCUAAUAGUUAAAAACUGAUUAAAAAUAUACAAAAAUGUUUGAUACAAUUUUUUUAGGGAUAUUUUAGGUUUUUUAAAAUUAGAGAUACUGUUUGAAAAAAAGAGAAAUUUUUUUCAAAAAAAAUAUAUAAAAUAUGAAAACUCGAGGAUUAAGUAUUUAGAUAUCUUUUUCCCGACAUCAACUGAAUUAAACUAGCAAAAAGAAUAUAAUAUAUCAGAGAGCAUAUAAAUACAUUGCUUGUUUCCUAUUUUAAAUUUUACAGCCUGGCACCACACAACUAUUAUAGUCUUAGAAUUUACGUGUAUUCGGUGCAGGUUAAACGUGGAAAGUCGUCUGAAUCAAUUAGUUUAAUUACGACCUGCUUCACUUUCUCUGGACUGCACAACACGCGGACGAUUUAGUCAAACGAUUACGCACACGCUGCUGUCAUUGAUUGCAACAACACACCAAUAUAAUCUUCGUUCCUUCAAUCAUGUUGCAUUGCUUAACAACGAAGGAGCCUCAGUCAAUUGUAUCUCCAAAUUGACCACUGCAGCUGUUCGUGGACUUCGUCCCUAAAGGACAACAUGUGGGAAAGAUCGAGAAGACAAGAAGGUCGGAAGAGGAGAUGGAGAGGAAGAGGUCGGUCACGGGUAGGAUUCUAGGAGAUAGAAAACUAUUAACAGGAAAUGGAUAAAAAGAGGGAAAAGAUAUAAAUAAAAUAAUUAUAUUAUAUGUGGGUUAACAAUUGUGAUUUAUAUUAGUUAUGAUUGAAUAACUUGGUACUUUGGAGGAUUUGGAUUUGGAUUUGGAUGAUAUAAGAUAGGAAAAUUAUGGCUUCUCCCUAAAUAUUUCUUUUUCAUACAUUUUCUAUUUUCACAUAAAAUUUCUGGCACCUCCGCUUUCCGUUGAUCCUAUACGACAAAGGUCCGAUGGGCUUUCCCUUUAGCCCAAUGCAGGUCCCUAACUCGACUUCCGCCCGCUCACCCUUCACUCGAUUCUCUGCCCUCGCUUUCGCCUAAUCCCUAAUCGAGUCACUCUUCGGCUCCGACAUGGUCGAUGGUGCCAAUGCCCUCCUCGCUGAUUCCUUCGCGGAAACCUCAACUUUCCCACGGACCCGUUUCUUCGGUCUCCUCCUCUCUCUCUACCCUGUCAAAUCCGAUGAUUCUUUGCCGCCGCAUCCUUUCGCUACUCCAUUCGGUGACCCUCAGAAUUCUGAUGAAUUGCCACUGCAAGUCGGGCCGCUUGGACGUCGCACACCAAGUGUUCGAUCAUACGAUAUAUGGUUAUUGAACUCCACGUGAUCCCUUGCAAUGUAUUAAUCCAAUUCUUCAGAAGGAAAGGACGGAUCUUUGAUGCAUUCAACGGUCUACGUGAGACGCGGAAGAGCAGGCCGAAUCGGCGGGCAUACGCAAUUGCAGACGAUGCGGAAGACGGUUCUUUUAACGUGACUCGUUUGCGAAUUAGGUUGGUUCCGAGUGCGAUCGCUUGUAAUUAUGGUUUCGAUGGGCUUGAUAAAGAAGGAAAGGUGCAAGCUUCGAGGGUUCAAGUUGGAAAACAGGGGAAAUGUGGUAUCAUAAGCUGGUUUUACCAGUAAAAGAAAGAUUGAAGAUGCAAAGUAUGGUUUUUGUCGAUAUGUCUGACAAGGGGUUAUGUCCGGAUGCUACGACAUACGCAGGCAAAUUUAAUAAUUUAUUCUAUUGUCUCGCAGGUGUUUUGCAUAGAGUUGAGAUUGAGGAAUAAUUUUGGUGCUUCACGAAUUUUUUUCUAACUGCUGUUGUGCAUCUACUGGUAAUUCCUCUUAUUCUCAAAUAUGUUUGUCAGUUUGUUCAACUUGCCAUUCUCAGAACACAAGAAACAACCAAAACAAAUUAGAAAAGGUUUCAUCAUGAGAAAUGCUGACGCAAUGUGGAUCUUAAGCUACAGUUUUGAGGAGAAAUUAAUUCAAAAUAUGAAGUUAGAAAAUAUGAAGUUGUGCUACCUAAGACUUCAAAGCUGAUGACGCUGGUAAUAAACUUCAUGGUGCUAUCAAGGAUAUAGUGGCUUGGUCUAGUGAACUUUGAAACUCUGAUUAUUUGAUCUAAACUUUGGUAUCAGUGCUUUUUUACAUUCACAUUGUUUGUUAAAAUUUUUGUUGCAUUCAUGUAUCUAUUUAGGCUUUAUUAGUUUGCGUUUUCUUUUCUUGUAUGCAUUUUGGGGAAAAUGAGUUAUGAGGGUCACCUCACAUACAUGGGAGGCAGAAGGUUCUCAAAAAUCUGAGAAUUAGUUUCUAGAUUUUUUUAUGAAUUACUUUCCAAUCUUCUUUUCCUUUUGUUGUUGUCGUUACUGUCGGAUGUGAGUUUCUUUUAGUUUGUUUCAGUAUUCUUGUGUAAUUUUUCCAUGCUGAUAGAUGUAUAAUGAUGGUAUGUCUCAUCAGUGAUGAUUGUGGUACUAAGGAAGCAGAACUUGUAUGUCUGUUGUAGCAAUUCACCUUUAUCUUAUGAUGCCAUGAAGGUUUCAUACAUCAUAUUGAACUUUUUGAUCACAUCUGUUUUUGUAAAUGUUUCGUUCUGCUUGUUUUACAUAUUUGGGAAUCUAGGUAAAAAGGAUAUUUAUGUACUUGCCAUAAUACUUGUAAAUUGCAUUUGCUUUGUUUUUGUCGAACAUCUUCUGUGCAUUCAUGUGGUGACUAUUUAUUUGUCUGAAAACUAUCCUUCCACCCAGUUGUGCUAGACAAUAUUUCUUUAUGAGCAAACCCACACUGCUUUCGUGCAGGGCACUAGGUUCUAACUUUGACCUUGCAGAGUAUAGCUUCUGACAAUGGCUUUAUCAUGACGGAGCUGCAUGUUGAGAUUAGUAAUGUGUCCACCAUAGUGGUUGCUACAUUGACUGCAUUUCCACAUUCCAGACAGUAGAAUUUGCUACUGGAGAUUGUGGUGACACUCUCUGCACAAUAAUAAAGUAAAAGCUUUUGAUGUAUUUGUGCCAGUACAUUCUAGUGUGCAUGUGCAUUUGAAGCACGUCUGUUUGUACAAUGCAAAUAUAUGCAAAUGCUACUUGUGUAAUUCAUUAGCUUUAGGUUUAUAAAUGUAGCACAAUCAUGAUCAAUGUUUUAUUUUAGUCUUUGACAAUAUGCAGAAUUGAGACUUGUAGUUACAUGAGAUAAUAUCAAAGGUGUGGUUGUUUAUCCUCCUCAACAUAACUCAUUGCUAAAUAGCUCCUCUUGUUUUCUCUUGCACUAAUAAUAACUUACAUGAUGUAAAUUGCAAACUCAUGAGUAUUUUCACAUUUUCUCGCUGGCAUAGUCUUAUUAUUUUGAUAUAUAUUGAUCCUCAACAAGUAUAGCAAUAUUAGUCUUUAGUUUUGAACUUAUUUCUGAUUGUCUUGCAGUUCUUUGUUCACCUAAGUGGUAUUGUGAAAUAAUAGGAUUGGUUCUUGCCAUGUUCUUCUGCAUACAACCAUAUAUUUGAUCACUUCAUAUCUGUCUGAACUAAUUUGCUUCUCUAAAUAAGCUGCAAUUCAAGUGUAAAUUUAAUUUUGACUCGGAACCACCAAAACUACCUGGUUCUCAUUAGAGAGACUUAACACAAUCAAACUUGUAGAAGCACAAGGACAAGGCAUCUCUACAGUCUUUUAGAUAAUAAAGCUUGAAUAUAAGUACUUGAACUAAUCUAAGUCAAAUCAAAUCUAACUUAUAAAAGCACAAGGAAAUAACAUCUCUAGAGAUUUUGGUAGAUGAUAAAAGCUUGUCUCUAGUUACUUGAAAUUAAGUAUUCAAAAAUCUAUUAGUCACCUAUAUGAUGAAAACAAAGAGAUGCUACUAACUUCAUUCCAGUUGUUUGUUUCAUUUUCUUGUGUCUUCUUAUCCUUGGUGUUUGUAUUUUCUUAACAAACCCAAUGAAUUUUCUUUAGAAGAAAAUUUUCAAUGUAGUAUCAUGAUUUCAACUUUCAUGCCCAGUAAAAUUUUGACACAUCCUAUGUGCAUGCUACAGAUAUGACUAUGUUUCAUCUAACACGUCCAGAGAUAUACAUAUUUGUAUAGCCCCACACGCUUAUUCAACUCUUAGCUCCUAGUGGUCUCUGAUACAGAUCCAUUCCUGUUUCUAGACUGCUGGUUCAUGUAGCUAUAUUCAUAAUGAUUGUGAUACCAAUGUAGCAGGGUUUGCUUCCCACUGUCUUGGCAAUAACCAGUUAACCACUAGUCUUUUUUUCACUUUAUUUUGCCACAUAUUUCUUUCAUCAUCUUAUAUGAGAAAGUUACUGUUAUCAACUGUAGUCAGAGAACCAACAUAUUUUCAUUGGUGAAAAACUUGUACUGAAGAAUGUGCUAGAACAAAAACCUGGAAUCUUACAUGUAAGAUCAUGUCAUCCAGAUCAAUAGUAUCUCCAUUGUCUUUCACAGUCUACAAGGGACUCUUAACUUGUGUCUCCCUUCAGGGCAGUGGGGACUCUCAAACACCAGGAGACCCCAGCUUAUUGGUGACUACUGUUUACUACUAUGCAUGGACAAACUGGGCAAACAAUAAAAGUAUCUGAUCUUCCCAAGUUAUUUAUUAGUAGAACUACCCAAUACUUAGUCCAGUGUCAUCAGCUCAUUGCUGGUGGUUGACUUUCUUCUCUCUGGGUUGCAAGUGGAUGAAUGAUGAAACUGGCAAGGCUGUUUGCACUUCUACUGUUUCGGUUUGGUUUAUUCCAGAGAAUCACAUCCAGGGAUGAGAUUAUUAAACUUGCUUAUCUUGCUAACUCUGCUUGAACUUAUGGAAAGUGUACUCAUGGCAUCUUUGCAUUGCCAGCAUUGUUGGUUUACAAUUAGCAACUACAGCAUGAUGCAUAUUGGUCAACCAUAAGGAUCAUCUUAUGUGUGUGCACUGCAGAUACUUUUAUCUGGAUAUCUGACCACUGAGCAUUUGCUGCUGUUUCUGAGACUAAUGCACCACUACAAAUGCUUCAUCAUCUGUAGUUGUACACCUUCUUGUGCAAUUCAUAUAUCACCUAUUCAAACACUCGAGUGAUGGGCAAGUUAUCUACUCUCUCAAGUGAUGGAAUAAGCUAUUUGAUGACCAGUUCAGUGCAAGUAAACUGGACACCAGCUUCUGACAUUUGCUUAUUAAUGGUCACUGAGUUUAAGGGCUGAGUACAUGACUUCCCUUGUUCCCUGAGGAUUGUACAAAGGACAGAUAUUACUAGUAAACUGCCUUGAGUCAACUGUAGGUAUUACAGUAUUGCUGUUUAGGUAAUGUGCAGUUUUUGUUAUUAGAAAACUGCUAGUGGUCAAAGCAUCUCUCAUAUUCCCAAUAGCUUUGCUCCAAAAGAUAAUCUGAUCUGAGUCUCAAAAACAUUAGCCACAAGAUGAGUUUUUUUUUUAUUUAAAUCAUGUUAGACUUUUUGGGCUUCCAUACAAAAUAAAAGCUUUCCAAAGUCAAACUAUGAAAACCACAUAGAGCCUGACUUCAAAAACAGAGUCUCAUGAAAUUUCCUGGCAGCUCUGGACUGAGUUUACUACACUAGUAUUUGGUACAGUCAACUGUAUUAUUCAUUCCAAGCUUGAAGACGCAUCUCCUGCAGUCAAGCAAGCUCUUGGUUCUUCUCAACCACUCUCACCUCCUUUGCAGAUCUGAGAAUGGCUGCCUGAAGGAAGGAGGACAUCAAAAGACAACAUGGCAUUUCCAUCAGGGGUGACACAAAACAUCUUAAAUCCAAGAAGGAAUACCUGCUUUUUGGUUAUCUCCACUGAGAAGCCAUCAACAAUUGCCAGAGAGGACUUCUUCCUGUAGGAGUUUGGUGGGAGAAGCUUUGCCAGUAGCUGGUCAUGCUUGUGACUCAG